rnacentral:rRNA from 1 species
AUUUUUAAGAGUUUGAUCCUGGCUCAGGAUGAACGCUGGCUGUGUGCUUAAUACAUGCAUGUCGAACGAGUAGCUUGCUACUAGUGGCGAAUGGGUGAGUAACACGUGCCUAAUCUACCUUUCAGAUUGGGAUAACAAGCGGAAACGCUUGCUAAUACCGGAUACGCAAUAAUCUCGCAUGAGAAUGUUGUAAAAGGGGCGCUUGCCCCACUGGAAGAUGAGGGUGCGGAACAUUAGUUAGUUGGUAAGGUAAUGGCUUACCAAGACUAUGAUGUUUAGCCGGGUCGAGAGACUGAACGGCCACACUGGGACUGAGAUACGGCCCAGACUCCUACGGGAGGCAGCAGUAAGGAAUAUUCCACAAUGGGCGAAAGCCUGAUGGAGCGACACAGCGUGCACGAUGAAGGCCCUCGGGUCGUAAAGUGCUGUUGUUAGGGAAGAACACUUAGUGGAGGAAAUGCCACUAAGCUGACGGUACCUAACCAGAAAGCGAUGGCUAACUAUGUGCCAGCAGCCGCGGUAAUACAUAGGUCGCAAGCGUUAUCCGGAAUUAUUGGGCGUAAAGCGUUCGUAGGUUGUUUAUUAAGUCUGGUGUUAAAGCCCGGGGCUCAACUCCGGUUUGCAUCAGAUACUGGUAAACUAGAAUGAGAUAGAGGUAAGCGGAAUUCCAUGUGAAGCGGUGAAAUGCGUAGAUAUAUGGAAGAACACCAAAGGCGAAGGCAGCUUACUGGGUCUAUAUUGACACUGAGGGACGAAAGCGUAGGUAGCAAACAGGAUUAGAUACCCUGGUAGUCUACGCUGUAAACGAUGAUCAUUAGUCGGUGGAGAGUUCACUGACGCAGCUAACGCAUUAAAUGAUCCGCCUGAGUAGUAUGCUCGCAAGAGUGAAACUUAAAGGAAUUGACGGGGACUCGCACAAGCGGUGGAGCAUGUGGUUUAAUUUGAAGAUACGCGGAGAACCUUACCCACUCUUGACAUCUUCCGCAAAGCUAUAGAGAUAUAGUGGAGGCUAACGGAAUGACAGAUGGUGCAUGGUUGUCGUCAGCUCGUGUCGUGAGAUGUUCGGUUAAGUCCGAUAACGAGCGCAACCCCUAUUUUCAGUUAAUAACAGAUAGAGCUGAUAACUCUGGAAAUACUGCCUGGGUAACCAGGAGGAAGGUGGGGAUGACGUCAAAUCAUCAUGCCUCUUACGAGUGGGGCGACACACGUGCUACAAUGGUCGAUACAAAGAGACGCAAUAUAGUGAUAUGGAGCAAAUCUCAAAAAAUCGAUCUCAGUUCGGAUUGAAGUCUGCAACUCGACUUCAUGAAGUAGGAAUCGCUAGUAAUCGCAGAUCAGACAUGCUGCGGUGAAUACGUUCUCGAGUCUUGUACACACCGCCCGUCACACCAUGGGAGCUGAUAAUGCCCGAAGCCGGUUUGUUAACUUCGGAGACGACUGUCUAAGGUAGGAUUGGUGACUGGGGUGAAGUCGUAACAAGGUAUCCCUACGAGAACGUGGGGAUGGAUCACCUCCUUUCUA